CAAGAGUUGGAGAUUUAUCAAAUUUAUUCUUUGAGCGUGCCGAACAACAUAUUUCCGAGUAGCUUGUUUGCCUGCAAAACGCUCGUGACCUUGAAACUCAAAACGCUCGUGACCUUGAAACUCAACGGAGACAUUCUCAUGGAUGUUCCUCGUAUUCCUUGUCUGAAAACUUUGCGACUUGUACGGGUGACAUACCGCAAUGAAGAUUCUCUUCAACGGCUUCUAUCUAAUUGCCAUGUUCUUAUAGAUCUAUCUGUGGAAAGAGUGUAUCUGAUAAUCUGAGAAAGUUCAUUGUUAUCGUCUCGUCUUUGAAACGUUUAAAACUCCGUAAAUUGAUGAUUUAGAUGAGAUUGUGAUAAAGACUCCUUGUUUGGAGUACUUGCAUCAUGAGUAUUAUAGUUCUAAGAUUCACCACUGUUUGAUUGAGAAUAUGCCUAAGCUGAGGGAGGCAUAUUUACAUGUUCGCUUUCCUAUUGAAGAGUAUGUGUCCUUAAACCAAUUUAGGUAGUCUCGGUUAUGUGGGGAAAGUAGAAGCCGGUUUAGGCUGGGUUAUUAGGCACGUGUGGGAAUCGUGUAAGUGGCUGAGAUAUAAAGUCACAUUCCUCACAUAAUACAUUCUCUCUUAAGAUACAUAAUCAUCCCGAAGAUUUAGGGUUUGUAUCUUAGAGAGAGAGUGAGAGACGCCAUUGUAAAUCAGCUCAAGCUCGAGCAAGAAUAGUGAAUUCCGGAGUAUUCCUCCGGCGAGACGUAGGUGGCGGUUUUGCCCCGAACUCGUAAAACUCUCGGUGUGGAUUUACUUUCUGUUCUUUCGAUUUGCGAAGUAGAGGAUCUAAUCUUCACAAAUUGGUAUCAGAGCUGAGGUUUUUCGGCGAAGAAGAUAAUCGCAUAAUAAGAAGCACAAGAUUCGAAGAAACCUUGAAGAUCCAAGUCGAUUCAGAUCCCGACCUCAAGCGUCGAAAGAUCAAAUCGAUCCGGCGAUGUCAACAUCUGGGGUUAAAGCGGAGGUGGUUUGUUUCUUCGAUGGAACCGGGGAUUUCUCCUUAUGGAAGCGUAGGAUGCUUGCGCAUCUCAGUGUUCAAGGUCUCAAAGAUGUUCUCACCGAGAGAACCGAAGAAGAGCCAAAUAAAGAAGAAAGUACAAGCACAGAUAAAGAUCCAGAGAAAAGCUAAAGAAGAAAAUCAGCAGAAGACGAGAAAAGAUCUGCACGAUGUGAAAAGGCGUUAAACUUGAUCUGCCUAAAUGUUGGUGAUCAUGUACUACGCAAGAUCGAGAACUGCAAGACUGCGGCGGAGGCGUGGAGUCUUCUGGAAAAGUCAUACAUGUCAAAGUCCUUGCCAAACAGAGUUGACUCACAGCUUAAACUCUAUGGUUAUAAGAUGCAAGAAAGCCGCACGAUCGACCAAAACAUUGAUAAUUUCUUGAAGAUCAUCGGAGAGCUCAGCCAUCUAAGCAUAGAAGUUCCAGAUGAGGUACAAGCAAUCUUACUCCUUAAUGCCUUACCGCCUAAGUUUGAAUCGCUUAAGGAAACGCUUAAGUAUGGGAGAGAGACAGUAAGGUUAGAGGAUAUUGCGAGCUCGGCUAGGUCCAAAGAAAGAGUUCUAAACUCAAUGCAGAGUAAGUCUUCGGAGGGUCAUUAUGUUCGUGGCAGAUCCAAAACUAGAGGUCAACAAAAUAGUAAGAGACAGGGGAGGUCAAGAUCCAAGUCUAAAGAAGGCAAGAAGAUUUGUUGGAUAUGUGGCAAGGAAGGGCACUAUAAGAAACAGUGCUACAAAUGGCUGGAGAAGAACAAGCAUAAAGUACAGACCGAUAAAGGAGAGACUUCCUUAGCUAAAGACGAUGCUCGAGAUCUGGUUGGACUUAUUGCAUUAGAAGUAAAAUUGUCGUUAAAGGAGUCAGACAGGGAAGAGUGGAUUAUGGACACUGGAUGCUCGUUCCAUAUGACACCAAGAAGGGAUAUUUUCAUAGAAUUCCGGGAAGUAACUUCAGGAAAGGUUAGAAUGGCUAACAGUUCACAGUGUGAGAUAAAAGGUAUUGGUUCGGUGAUGUUUCAGAAUCAAGAUGGAACCACAUUCACACUUUCAGAAGUGAGAUAUAUGCCAGAUAUAUCUCGGAAUUUGAUCUCGAUGGGAACGUUAGAAGAGAAAGGAUGUGAGUUCAAGGGUGCGAAGGGAGUGAUCAAAGUGAUAAAGGGCUGCUCGGUUAUUAUGAAAGGUGCUAGGAAGGGGCAGGAUACUUUGUACAUUCUACAGGGGUCAGCAAAGAUAUCUGAGGCGUGUAAUGCUGAAGAGAGUGAUCAGACUAAGACUUGGCACAGCAGGUUAGGACACGUUGGUCAGAAGAGUAUGGAUUUGCCAGCGAAGAAGGGCUGUUUUGGUAAAGACAAGGUAUCGGAGAUCAAGUUCUGUGAAGAUUGUGUUUUGGGUAAAACACACAAGACUAGUUUUGGAUCGGCUCAACAUACAACCAAGGAAAGACUUGAUUACAUUCACUCAGAUCUGUGGGGGUCUCCUAAUGUUCCUUUGAGCUUAGGAAGAUAUGUCAGUAUUUCGUCUCCUUCACCGACGACUGGUCAAGGAAGGUGUGGAUAUAUUUCUUGAGAACCAAGGAUGAAGUUUUCACUAAGUUCGUCGAGUGGAAGAAGAUGGUGGAGACUCAAACAGAACGUAAGGUGAAGAAGUUUAGGACCGAUAAUGGGCUCGAAUUUUGUAAUCAACGAUUUUAGGACCGAUAAUGGGCUCGAAUUUUGUAAUCAACGAUUUGAUCAAUUCUGCAAAGGUGAAGGUAUUGUAAGGCAUAGGACCUGUACAUAUACGCCUCAACAAAACGGAACAGCAGAGAGGUUAAAUAGAACGAUCAUGAACAAGGUCAGGAGUAUGCUGAGCGAGAGUGGUUUAGAUCAAAAGUUAUGGGCUGAAGCUGCCUCAACAUCGGUGUACUUAAUAAAUAGAACUCCCUCUAGUGCCAUUGGGUUUGAUGUACCUGAAGAACGCUGGACGACAUCAAUGCCGAGUCUAACUGGUUUGAAAACUUUCGGUUGUGUUGCAUAUGUACAUUCGAAUGAGGGGAAGCUAGACCCAAGGGCUAAGAAGGGUAUCUUCACUGGAUAUCCAGAAGGAGUCAAGGGUUUCCGAGUCUGGUUAAUUGAAGAGAACAAGUGCAUUAUAAGCCGUAACGUUGUGUUCAGAGAAGAUAUGCUAUACAAGGAUCUCAAACUCGGACAACAGACAAGUAUCUCUAAACCUUCUUUUAGUACUAAUGAAAUGUCUAGCUUUGAUUUUGCAGAUACAGGUUCAACUGAAGAGGACACAGUUCGAGGUGGAGAUACUGGAGAUGAAGACCAGGAUCAAGGGUCUCGUAUGAGUGAAGAAACUGAAUCAUCCGCUCAGGAUCUAAGGGGUCAUCAGUUAAUCAGAGAUAGACCGAAGAGACAGAUCAGAUUACCCGUAAAGCUGGAAGAUUAUGAAAUCUAUGGGGAUGAGGAUUCAGAUGAGAUAGCUGGUUAUGCGUAUCUGGUUACAGAAGAUGGUGGAAAGUCUGAACCGGAGAGUUAUCAAGAGGCGUUAGCUGAUGAAGACAUGGAUAAGUGGUUAGAAGCUAGUGAUGAAGAAAUGAGGUCUUUGGAGAAGAACAAGACGUGGGUCUUAGUGGACAGAGUUGAAACGCAUAAACCUAUUGGAAGCAAGUGGGUGUAUAAGAGAAAAGCCGGGAUUGUUUCAGAAAACAAUUAUAAAUAAAUUUAUUACGUAGAUAAUAAUUGUAGUUACUUGAGAAUUUCUUAAAUACAUGUUAGAUUUAAAUAAAAUUUUUAUAAUACCACAAAUGGUAAAUGAAUAUCUUAUUGUAUUUUAUCAUAAUUAAUCACUUUAAAAUAUAAAAUAUUCACUAUUGAUAAAUAAUUAUAUUAUAUAACAAAAUAAUAGAAUAAGUUAGAGUUAUGCAUUUAUAAUUACAGUUUUAUCCGGAUUAGUUUGUCAAUGUAAAAUAUUAAAAAAAAUAAUUUGAAAUAACUAAACAAACGGCUUAGUUCAUAGAUAUGUAAAUUGUUUAUGUGUAAAUCUAAAUUUACAUAAUAAAAAAGUUUAUAAUUAACACUAGAUCAAUUACUCAAUUAACUCAUACUCUUAUUCUACUAAUAUACAAAUUUAUAUUAUUCAAAACUAAAACAUGAUAACAAAAUUCAUGAUAACAAAAUUCUUGAUUUAAAAAAAAUAAAUAACAAAAAUAACUUUUAUUAAAAAAAUAUAUUAGAAAUAAAAAAUAUAAAAUUUCCGUGUGUCCGCACAGGGUUAUAAUCUAGUGGACAAACCUCAACCUGAAAAAUAAAUCUUCCAAUUUAGAUCACUAAUGGCAUCAAACCAUUCGGUAAUAUUCCAAUUAAAGUUUGAGCCGACCGGUUUGAUGUGUAUAGACAUUCCAGAUUUUCUAGGGUUUUGUGCUGUUCCUUGGAGUGGCCGUGUUUCACUUUUGUUACUUAAUCUUUUGUGGCCUACAUAAUGACUUGUGGGUUCGAACAGAAAGAGACGAGAGGCAGAGACAAGUUGUAAACAGGUUAAUUAGAGAAUCAAAUCAUUGUUCUAGUCUUUGUGGUCUCUUUUCUCUAUUCUCCUUUGUUAUUCGAAUCUAUACGAUAUGGGCAGAAUCAGUGAGUUGCCUAAUGACUUGCUGAUAAAGAUAUUAUCGUUUCUUCCAACCAAAGUUGCUGUCUCCACUAGCAUCUUGUCCAAACAGUGGGAGUUUCUUUGGAUGUGGCUUCCUAAACUUGUGUACACUAGUAGUUGUUGUUAUUCAAAGUCUGAAGACAAGAGGUUAAAGUGUUUUCUUGACAGAAAUCUGCCAUUACAUAAAACUCCGGUUAUAGAAAGCUUACGUCUUUACUUUCGUUAUCCACAUUUAGAACCUGGAGAUAUCAAACUAUGGGUUCUAACUGUAGUUUCUCGCUACGUCCUUGAGCUGGAGAUUUCUUAUUUUACUUACCAGAACGAGCAGGAUAUCUUGUCGAGUAGCUUGUAUACCUGCAAAUCGCUCGUGACCUUGAAACUCAAUGGAAUGAUUCUUGUGGAUGUUCCUCGUAUGGUUUGCCUUCCUUGUCUCAAAACUUUGCGACUUGAAUGUAUGACAUACCUCAAUGAAGAUUCUCUUCAACAGCUUCUAUCUAAUUGCCCUGUUCUUAAAGAUCUAUUUGUGCAAAGUCGUGGUGGUAAUAAUUUGAGAAAAUUCAUUGUUAUCGUCCCGUCUUUGAAACGUUUAACAUUCCUUGGAGGUGAUGAUCAUUUAGAUGAGAUUGUGGUAAAGACUCCUUCUUUGAAGUACUUGGAUUUUACAUAUUAUAGCUUUAAGAUUCACCACUGUUUGAUUGAGAAUAUGCCUAAGCUGAGUGAGGCAUAUGUAAAUGUUAGCUUUCCUAUUCUCGAGAGGCUUAUCGGAUCAAUCACAUCUGUCAAGCGUCUCACAUUAUUGCAAGUAGACUAUGGUUCAGAGGUAAUCAGUUUCCUCAACUCUAUGUAUAUUGAAUCUAAUUUUUAUAGAAUCUUGUGUUAGUGAAAUUUUAGUAUUGUGUGCAGGAUGUGUAUGGUGGUGGUUUUGUCUUCAACCAGCUUGUACAUCUGAAUCUACGUAUGUACCAAAGAUAUUCGUUGAAUGUGCAAGUCCGUCUGCUUAAAGAUUCGCCUAAGUUACGUUUGCUAGGCCUAGAUCUAUGUCGCAGUAGAAGGGAUGUAAGUUUCUUCGAUAAACAUUGUCUUCAUAAUGCGCACACACACACACACUAUGGUUUUCAUGAGUCUAAUUCUUCUUCUUGAUACUCAGGUUCAUGGAACUAAUGGUGUGAUUUUCUGGAAUCAACAAAGUACUGUUCCUGAAUGUAUGUUGUCGAGCCUACAAACUUUCAAGUUUUCAGGAUAUUUAGGAAGACCAGAAGAGAAAGAUCUUGUGAUUUAUGUCUUGAAAAACGCACAUCACUUAAAGACCGCAACAAUCUUGUUUAAUAAUCGUUUCUUUGAAAAAAACCGUGACAUGAUACAAGAGUUGGCACUUUCUCCUCGUGCGUCAACCGAAUGCCAACUUGUAUUUGAUCGGUGAUCUGGAGCUGUUUAAGACUCUACAUAUUUUUAUUGUUGUGUGGUUAGUGUUAUCAUCUGGAGCUGUUUAAGACUACAUAUGUUUAUGAUCAUAGUCUAGUCUAAAACCGAAUCACGAACCUGAAAUCUGAUCUUUUUGAAUGGCUUCGUCUCUCUUUUUUUUUUUUCGGUCCUGGAUUGUUCGUUAGGCAGUUAAGAAGAGAACCUGAGAUGGUAAAGAAGUUAAAAAAACUGGCGGUGUUUGGUUUUCGGGUCACGUUUAUAGCCGAAACCAAAUUACAAACCGAUCGGUUUGGUUGAAGACUUGACUAAACCUUCGCUAUUCAACAGCUUCCUAAUUCAUUUUGCUUGGGCUUUAGACAAAAUCCGUUUGAGUCUUACGGUGUGGUUAUCUUGUGUAUUUCUUGUUAUUCAGGGAAGACCAAAAUCAAAGUUUUUCAAUAAGUCAUAAUUUUUUUUAAAGAUAUGGACAGAGGAAUGCCUGAUAAAUUGCUGGUGAAGAUAUUAUCGUUUUGUUCCAACAAAAGUUGCUGUAUAUACCAGCAUUUUGUCGAAACAAUGUGAGUUUUUUGCUUUGCCUAAGCUUGAGUACAUAUCUGAGAUAAGGCGGAAUUAGUAAAGCUUUUGAUAAGGUGGAAUUGACUUUUGUAGAAACAUUGAUGAAUAAAAUGAGUUUUGCUGCAAAAUGGUGUAAAUGGAUAAUGAAGUGUAUAACCCACUGUCACAUACUCAGUUUUGAUAAUCUGCUCUCAUGUUGGCAACACUUCCACCUCAAAUUUUACCAAAGAAAAAAAAACAUUUCUCCUCAAAGAGGGUGUAAGACAAAGUAAAUACGAUUUCCUCCUGUUUUGUUUAGUUUUUGCAGGAAGAUGGUAAUACUGAAUUCAAAAGCAUUCUUUGGUAAAUCCGAUUUCCUCCUGUUUUGUCAGACAAAGUAAUCUGCUCUCAUGUUUUGAUCCGGACGGAUCAGCCAGAUGAAUCAUCUAGAUGAAGCGAGUAAGUAAAUACUGGAUUUAAAAGCAUUCUCUUUCUAUUGUUUUACUUUCCAAAUCGCUUUGACAGAGCUGUUAACCAAUAUUGCGAGACAAGGAGGAAUACCAUUAGGGACUGCAAAACAGAGCAACAACAACAAAGUAAGAUGAGUCUAAAAACCAAAAAAGUAAGAUGAGUCAAAACGACGUUUUGAAUGAUGAGUUUACAAGAAAAACAAAGAUGGGCCAAAAGAAAGAAGCAGCUAAGCCCAACAAAAACUCACUCGUUGUCAAGAACAACUCACAGUGGUCAUUCAAUGGAGACAUCACAUGUGAUAAACAGAAAAGCAGAGUACCGCUGUUUGCUGUUUGAAAAACAGAGAAAAACAAAGCACUAAAACAGCAUCAGGAUCAUCAAUCUACUAUCUAAACCUGGCUAAUAAGUCCCAAUACUAGAUGAUUGCUAUUUCAACUGUCUAGACGUUAUUCUAACAACAGAAAAUGGAAAAACUGUAAAACUCUUUUUGUAUACGACCUAGCAAACAAAGAUUUAACAAGCGGCUAGAACUUUGCAACAACAAGACACAUGACUAUUGCAACUUAGGUUCAUGGAAAACCUGUAAAACUCUCUUUGUACAUGAGCCAGCAAACAUGUGAAUCAACAAAGAUGAGAUAACUUUGUAUUGAACUAUUCCUACCGAUUGAAACAACACAUUUUAAAGUUAUCCUUUGUGAAACAGAAAAUGAAGCUAGUAUCAAUGAUGAUUCACAAAUCACUAAACCAAUGGCGAGUAAAUUUUGAAUCCAGUAAAACAGAAACACGAUGCUUAAAGACGAAGGCGCGAUAGAGAUAGAGGACACCUGUGUACAGUUCUAAGAAGCAAGUGGAACCGGUUAAGGAUGAUCCUUGUCAAAGAGGAAGAGAACCUUGGAGUAGCACCAGCAGAAACUGUCAAAACAUGAUCAUGUCGAGAAGCUGUCAAAGAGAAACACGAACAAAAGGAUGAAUAUAGAAUCUAAGAACAUCGAAUCAAAUAACUUAAAACACAUCAUUAACAGGGAAUUUGUCAAGCAAAAUAGUAUACUUUCAGUAUUUCCAAUGAAUCCGAAGCUAACAGCAAACCCAGAAACCCAAAAACAAUUUUGAUGUUCUGUAAGGAUUUUUAACUUCUCCUGAGUGCUUAGAUCUUAGGAUCUAUUAGAUGAAUUAGAAACUUAAAGAACACAAAAAUUUGAUCACCCAGUUCAUGGCCUCGAACCGCUACGUCUGGGAUGGGAACCGUCUCCCACAACCUCCACUAUCAAUCAAAGAAUACACAAACGCACUAACCGGCGUUUUCUUUGUGUUUCAGAUACAAGUAAUAGAUUAGAACAAUAGAAGAAGAAGACUUGAAUCACAACACAAAGAAGACACGAACUUCCUUUGGUACUCUCUUGGAUUCCCUUUUCUCUCUUCUCUAAAUUGCUCUCUCUCUCUAUCUCCAACUUGUACUCACGGCUUGUGUUUUCUUUUUCUGUGUUAGGGUUCUGCUUCAAAGUCUUUGCUUCUUUUAUAGCAAUACGUAGCCGACUUGUUUAACUUCAUAAUCUCGUUCUCCAUGUACCACGAAACCAAAAAAAAAGCUUCUUUGGUAUAGGGCUUGAACAAACCCAAUUUCUGAUUUAAACCAAUUAGGCCCAUAUGAAACAAACAAGCCCAAUAUGUUCGAAGAUGUUUUGAAGUUUAGAGAACGAAAAUUGAAAUUCUAAGACAAACCCAGAUACAAAUAUUAACUCAUCGGAGAGAGAAACAAGACUCGAUGGAGAGAGCAAAGCUUGAGCUUGGAAAUUAUAUCUUUUUUCUUGUAUGUUGUCAUAAUCACGAAAAUUUUAAUUCUUUAACAAAAUUGGGUAAUCGAAACCGAACCAAACACAAUCGAUUAAAUUGAAAUCGAAAAUCAAAUCUUGAUUUCCCCUUUUCCUCUCUUCAUCUUCCCCGAACGGCUAUCUCCAUUCCCCUCACUCCUUCGAAAAUUCUGCAAAUUCUCCUUUAAAAAGACCCUGAUAAAGACUAGAUUUUGUAACUUCUCCUUUUUCUUCCCCUUCUUCAACUUCCCUUACUUUUUUUCAUUAAUUUAUCUUUCUACAUACAUCAAAACAAACCCUAACUCCAUGGUUAAAACUCGAGUAAAAAGUGUGGUAUAUGUGGAAGCACAUGGUUAAAAUUCGAACGAUCCUGUACCCAAUUGCAGCGAAGAAGCACAUGUGGAAGAUAAAGACCCAGGAAUAACCCCAAACUCUCCGGCGAAUGAUGAAAAAACAACCAUGAAGAAACUCGGAGAGAAGACGAAACAUUGAUGGAAGUAGACCCAGUCGAUACCAAAACCACCAAAGAAGCCUCUGAAACCGCAUCAACACCCACGGACGACGGUGCAACGGAUCAACCAGAGGAGUGGUUGGAAUGUCGUGAAGAACCUGAAAAAGAGGAUUUAGCGGAUACAGUAGCCGAGGAAGAAGGAGUGGUAGAAUCCCAUAAAGAAGAAGAGGGAGAUGUAUCUGAGGAUGAGACUUCGGAAAGAAAAAGCGAGGAAGAGAAAUCAGAGAAAGAAGCCGAGGAAGAGGAAUCCGAGAAGGAAACAAGAGAAGAGGAGGUCGAGGAUGAACAAUCGCAGAAAGAUAGUAGAAAAGAGGAAUCCGAGAAAGAAGCAGACGAAGAGGGAGGGGGGACGCCCGAGAAAGACGACGAGGGAGAAGGAGAGGAAGGAAAUGAAGAGGAAGGAAAUAAAGAGGAAGAAAAUGCAGCGGAAGAAGAGCAUGUCGAAGAGGCAGAUGAAGAUUUAGAGGUAAGUAUACUUUGUGUAUCUGGGAGAACUGGACAACUGGUUUAACUAUUUAGAUGAAAUUAUGUUUGGUCGUUGGACAACUAUGACAACUAGGAUACCUAUUGGCACGAAAUUAUGUUUGGCCUUUGGACAACUGGAAUUACUGUGUUUGAUGAAAUUAUGUUUGGUCGUUGGAAAACUAGGACAACUGGGAUAACUGUGUUCGAUGAAUGUUUGCUUUGGUCAAAUGUUGGACAGCUGAGACAACUGGGAUUACUGUGUUUGAUGAAAUUAUGUUUAGUCGUUGGACAACUAGGACAACUGGGAUAAUUGUGUUCGAUGAAUGUUUAUUUUGGUCAAAUGUUGGACAAUUGGGACAACUAGGAUUACUUGGUCGUUGGACAACUAGGACAACUGGGAUAACUGUGUUCGAUGAAUGUUUGUUUUGGUCAAAUGUUGGACAACUGGGACAAUUGGUACAACUUAGUUUAACAGAAUUAGUUAACACGCGGACAAUUGGGACAACUAAGUCUGAUAUGAUUGUGUUUCUUGUUUAUAUUUCAGGAUGUCAAUAAUGGUAGUCAACCGAUGGUGCAUGAGAAGCUUUACUUCGGUCCAACUGAGUACAGCAAGAGUUGUAGGAUAUUGACAAGGUGAUCGGUUAGAACUAUUGUGGACAAGAUUGAUAAGCUUGAUGAGGAGAAAGUAGGUUCAGAGCGCAUCCUCAAUUUAAGCACAUUUUUCACAUGUUCAAGGAGCGCAACCACAUGAAUCAAGGAUUGUGGAUGCUUCUCCUUCACACUGCUCAUACUGAAAGGCUUAGUGAGUGCUGAUUUGUUGUUAACGGAGUUCCAAUAAAGUAUUCUCUGGGAGAGCAUGCACUUUUGAGUGGACUUGACUGUCGUGAUUACCCGACUGACUACAAGAAUUUGGAGAACAUAAAGUUUGUUGAAAAGCACUUUGGUAGGGCGGAUAAAAUCAAGAUUGCGGAUGUGGAAGAAAAAUUAAAUGAAAUGAAUGAUACCUCUGUGGACAAGAAGAAAAUGGCCCUCUCUGGUUUUUAUGCAAGGUAGUGAAGGCGAAAUACAAGAGUGAUGGUAACAUUAAUCCGUUCUUGCACAAAGUUGUCAGUGAUUUGAAUGUGUGUAAAUCAUUCCCUUGGGGGUGUUACACAUUCGAUGACAUGAUGAAGAAGAUCCGGCGUGUGAUGGCAAGGUAUAAUGGCAGCAUCAAAGACAAAAAAAGCAGAAUGUCCCUUAUCUGGUUUCAUUCUUCCUCUACAGGUAAUUCUCAGUCAAUAGUUUUUAGAAGUUAAUUUAUUUAAAUAAUUUAGGGUUUAACUUUUUGAUUUUUUGUGUAGAUACUUGCUUUUGAGUGUAUUCCUAGUCUUGGCUGCAAAUUCCGAGAAGCUGUACCUGCGCAGAAAGACUGUCCGAUGAUGUGCAAGCACAAGUUCACUGAUGUAUGCAUGAAAAGCAUUCCAUUGGAUGAUAUAAACGCAGCAAUUGGAACAAGCGCAAAGGUUAGUAUUUGAUGGGUUUGGUUAUGGGACAAUAGGGUACAACUAUGUUUGACUUGCUGGUAGUGAUUUAGGGACAACUGGUACAACUCAACAAUAUUAAAGAUUAUUGGUUGUAGGACAAUUAGGACAACUGAUACAACUACGUUUCUUUUGUUUUGGUUAAAGGGAAACUGGUACAACUUUACGUUUUGUUGUUACAGAUGGACAUUUAUCUUUGUUUAUGUUGCCAGGACAUUCAUAGUAUUUUGAAGCCUGCAGACUCGGGUUAAGAAAAACUAUUGCGUCGGAUAUUAAAUCCUGGCUAUGAUGAUGGGAUAGGACUCAUUGAUGUAGGUGUUGAGGAUUGGAUGCAUCAUCUCACGGUGAAGAAGAAGAAGAUAUUCUGGAGAUCUUUGUAUGAGUUAGACAUUCAACAUCGGGGUGGAAUCAUAGCCGACACUCCUCAAGUACCUGAACCUUAGGUGACAUCAUUGUUGGAGCUGAAGGCUGCGAUGGAUCUAUUAAAAAAAAGAGUGGUGACGCUUGAGUAGUUAGUCCUUCACCAAUCCUCUCCACCACCCGCCUCAUCACCAGUCUCCUCUCAUCGACCCGCAGGUGGCUCCCGUCAACCACGCCAAUCUUCUCCACCACCCGACUCUUCACCAGUCUCCUCUCAUCGACCCGCAGGUGGCUCCCGUCAACCACGCCAAUCUUCUCCACCACCCGCCUCUUCACCAGUCUCCUCUCAUCGACCCAUAGGUGGCUCCCGUCAACCACGCCUAUCCUCUCCACCACCCGCCUCUUCACCAGUCUCCUCUCAUCGAGGCGCAUGUGGCUCCCCUCAACCACGUGCAUCACCUCCUUCUCUAAACUCCUCGUACUCUUUGUUGGAUUGUGUGGAGCUGUUGCAGCGUGAUGUCUGGCAUCAAGGGAUAGUGAGGAAAAUUAUGACAAACAACCGUUACAAGGUUAAGCUGGUUGACACAUCGGAGGAAGCUGAGUUCAUGUAUUGGGAUGUUCGGCCAUCAACUGCACCAUCACCUGCAUCCACCUCAAGACACGCACUACCACCAGAAGCAUCCUCAUCAAAAGCUGGUAGAGGUGGAACUAAGAGGCCCAGAAAAAAAUCAUAAUACAAGAAGUCGCCUUUUAUCUCUGGAAAAAAGACAAGAAAGACAAGAAGUAGAAUGUGUUGUUUAUGUUUAAGAUUAUGUGUUUUGGUUUGUGGUAAAACUUUAUGUCUUUUGUGUUUUAUUUGGACAACUGGUACAACUUAAUGUGUUUUAUUAGGACAACUGGUACAACUUAAUGUGUUUUAUUAGGACAACUGGUACAACUGCCUUUUUCAGAACAACUGGUACAACUUAAUGUGUUUUAUUAGGACAACUGGUACAACUUUGAGGAUAACAGAUAAGAAACAUAACAUGAGCGACUUCAUAAAAGGAAAAAUAGUUCUGGAAUCUUACAAAAGAGAGUAGGAACAUAAACAUAAAAGGGAAAAAACAGGUAAAUAAGAAUAAGACACAACAAUCAAGCCAACAUAGCUCAUAAGGACUCCCAAAAACUGAAAAUCUUCUUCAACCUUAACUCUUUUUCAUAGCUGCCUUAAGGGAUGCCACCUUUGAGUCCAACUGGUUUAACUUGGAGAAAACGGUGUCAAACAAAUAUCGCAUGGCUUCUUGAGUUUCAUUGAGCAUUUCAAUCUCUUUGAGUAUUGUGACAUCCCACCACUUCUUGAAGCCACAACUGGGAACCUCAAAACCAGAAACUCAGAAAUUCAGAUGAUACUCAAUUUAAAAAUCAAAAUUAACUCCAACAUUUACUUCCGAGAAAUUUUUUGGGCCACAACAGCCGUAGAAGCAACCAUAAUAUUUGCGGCCCCUGUCCAGCGCAGAGUUGUCAGUUAAGCACCCAAUUGGAGCUAAGCCGCAGUGGCAAAGCUUUGGAAUUCCUUUUUGUACAGGGCAUGACAAAAUGGUCCUGACUCCAUUGACUUCGGGUCCCCAUCUAGUGGUCAUCACGUAAUCUUUCUUAGGCAAGACAGAAGAAGAGCCCUCAGUCUUUGUUUCAGCCAUUUUUGCGAUGAUUUUCUGAGAUUUUUCCAUGAUGCGGCGGAAACUCUAACAAACUUAAUUGGGGGAAAAAUGAGAAAUGAAUAGAUGAGAAAGAGAAAAAACAGAGAAGAACACUUUUCUAUGAAAGAGAAAACACUAAACGGCAACAAAAAUGAAAAGGAAAAUAACAUAUAAUUUUAUUCUCAGCCGCCAUUCUCACACGUGCAUAUUCCGAUGACAUAAUAGUUGUACCUAGUUGUCUGGUUGUCCCAAAAUUGGAAUAGUUGUCCUUUGGUCGAUUUUUAAGUUUUUUCAGUUGUCCCUGAACAAGAAUUCCUUUUUUUAGUUGUCCCUUUAACCCUUGAACAUUUUAUACCUGCCCCAAGGGUUUCACGCCCAUCUUUUUAUAUUUUUUAUAUUUUUACGUUUAGCCUCUUAUAAGAUGGAUAACAUUGUCAAAGAGUUCCUUAUACCAUAAGGGUUAUUUCAUUAGAAACACAAAAAUAUUAGGUUAUUUGCAGAAAAAUGGUUUAUUUUAAUUUCCCUUAAUUUUAUGGAUACAGUAGUUAAGGUUAUGGGUUGUAUUUGUUUAGGACUCCUUAAUUUUAAGAAAUUAUUUUUAAAGACAAUUUACUAAAAUAUAGUUGUCCCAGUUGUCCUAGUUGCACCUAGUUGGCCUGGGUUUGGACGUAGUUGCAUCAUGUUGCACCUAGUUGCACCUAAACCACGUAGUUGUCCUAGUUGUCCUAGUUGCACCUAGUUGGCCUAGGUUUGGACGUAGUUGCAUCAUGUUGCACCUAGUUGCCCUGAAAUACAUUACAUAAAUUCCUAAACGUUGCACCUAGUUGCACCUAGUUGCCCUGUAAACAUUCUCCAAAUCCAAGAAAUUCAAAAUACAAAUAACUCCAAAAUAUAUAGUAUUGCAAGAAAUUCAAGUUAAUGAAAAUACAAAUAAACUCCAAAAUAGUCCUGCGACCUAGUUCUGACCCUCUUCUCCCUCUUCUUCCCUUGGGUUUAGUGGUUGAAACCAACGCCCAAUGUUUAUGUUUGGGUUCGCCUUCUGACUCCUGCGAGCUUCUCCGGUGGAAGGAAACUGCUUCUCCUUCUUUUGUUCUGAUUUUUUGGUGUAGUCUGGUGGGUAAACAACUAAAUUAGCAACCUCCUCAGGAAUAAUCCAAGUUGAAUGAUGCAGCACCAUAUAGAUGGUUCUGUGGUAAGCCAUCGCCCAAGUAUCAAUCAAGUAGUAUCUCGAGCAUAAAUCGAAAAUGUGUAAGUCUAUUCUUCUUGAGGACGUCCGCAUCAUUGCAAUGGUUGCGGCUAUUGCAUGAACACAUGGAAUCUUAUCAAUAUCAAACAUGCAACACCCACAGCUUUUUGUAUCCAAAUUAACCAUAUAGCUCUUCCCCUCAACUCCAACAACACUGUAUUCAAGCCCAGGUAGAUUUAGCUCAGUCACAUCUAAUUUUGUUGCAAUUGCACAUUGUUUAUGCAAUUCAUUUUCCACAUACGGCACCAGUUUCUUCGAAUAUGAUGCACCAGCUAUGUUAUUCAUAUACUUGUUGAAACCAUUCAGACACUUUCUCAACAUACGCAUCAAUCAAAGGCAAUAGUGCAUACUUUCUUGCCUUCUUGAAGACGUUGUUCAUUGAUUCACAGGCGUUGCUUGUGUCCAAGUUGUACUUGUCUCCUUUAAAAUUCCACCUUGCCCAUUUCUCAAGAGGAAGACCAUUCUCUAAGUACUCCGCAGCUUUUGGAAACAUUCUACCAAAUUCGGUGUAUGCACUUAGGAACUCACUUUCGGUGUACUUAUGAGCGCACUCAACGAAUUUUUUAGAACACAAAUCUUUCCAACCAUUGGCUGCUUUAACCCUUACAUUACGAGACAAGUGCCAAACACAAAAUCCAUGCUGAGACUGAGGGUACACCUCCUGCACUGCCUUCGCUAUGCUUGUGUGUCUGUCACUCAUAAAAACAAUAUUAGGAUUAUUUGGUAUAACAGUUUUGAGCAUUUCUAAAAACCACCUCCAACUAGAGUCUUUCUCACUAUCGAUUACACCCAUUGCAAUGAAGUGAUGAUUAGGAUCCUGAGCUGUGGCAAAUACUAGCAUACAACCAUAAACAUUCUUAAGAAAAGUCGCAUCCACGACUAUGACUUUCCUCAUUGAACUAAAGCCUUCAAUGCUGGCGCCCAAAGCAACAAAAAGAUACUUGAACUUAUUAUUAGCAUCCACUUUCACGUUCGUCACUGUACCAGGAUUCACCAGCUUCAACACAUACAGAUAAGAAUGCAAUCUUUGAAAGCUUUCUACCGGACUACCCCUCACUUGACUAAUCGCGAGUUUUUUUCCUCUCAAGAUAGUAGAGUAGGAUACAUUCACAUGAGCUUCAUUUUGAACAACCUUCACUAUACUUCUAGGAGGCGGUGUGUCCACUACACCUGGAAACGAAGCAUGCAAAACAUCUGCUACAACUUGUGGAGUGCCUUUUCUUUUAUUCUCAAGUGUGCUGGUAAGGACCCGAGAUCAACUAUGCAUAUUCCUGUAUACUCUAAGGCUGAAGUAAGUUGAAUCCUUUAUUCUUAUAGUAUGUAAAUACCAUGAACAACCAUGUUCAGCUUGACGGCAUUUAAGAAUGAGUCGCCCAGGAUCAGACUUCACAGUUUUUGACCUCAAAACAUCCCUUAUCCGAAGCUCUGCCAAUCAAUACUCGCAACGCCUCUUUCGAUCGAAAUUCUUGAUUUUUCUCAAAACCAGCACCAUCAUCCCAUUCAAGAACAAACUGAGUCGGUUCUAAAGCCCCAGCAGGCUCUACGUGAUCAUGCUCAUCCAUACCAUACUCUGCAGGCUCUACAUGUUCAUGAUCAUCCGGUUGUGAAACAACAUCAUCAAUCACUAUCUGUUUCUCAGUCUCAGCCACAGCCACAAUAGCAAGUUCGUUCUGUUCUUUCCCUGCUUCCUCAAUUUCAAGCAUAAUCUCCCCUGUUUCUAGCUCCGGAAUCUUAUCUCUUUCUAAAUCUUCCAUUAUCUCCACAUGCAACACAGAUCUAAGUCUCUCUUUAUCCACAGUUGUUAGAUAGACAUACACAUCACCAUCAUCAACAAUACAUGACUCAUUGCAUGGCUUAGCUACCAACAGAAUGUAGCUUAACUUGAGCUUCUUCGUACUAUCAUUUACUCCAAUCUUCUUGCAUAUACCAUCUACAACCAUCGAAUAUGUUACCUCAUCCAAAGAGGUUUUAAAUGAUAUAGCAUAGAUGGAGCUUCUUGAUAUCCAUUUAAACUCCUCUCCUUCCUUAGAAUAACAUCCUCCAUACUCAAAAUGUAUGUUUGUGUGGCCCCUCAUCCUCUUCUGUUCAUAAAUACAAAAAAAUUAGUCAUUUACGAAUAACAGAAUUUUAUAUUUUCUCACAGUUGUACCAAUUGUACCAGUUGUCCCAUAUAUCUCAAUCAGUUAUCCCAAUUGUACCAGUUGUCCUAAUACAUUCAGUAUCCCAAUUGUACCAAUUAUCCCAAUACAUUCAGUAUCCCAAUUGUACCAGUUGUCCCAUUCCAUUCAGUUAAUCCAAUUCAAUUUAGUUAACCCAAUUGUACCAGUUGUCCCAUUUCAUUCAGUUAUACCAAUUGUACCUAGUUUCCCACUCCAUUAAGUUAAUCCCAAUUGUACCAGUUCUCCCAUUCCAUUCAGUUAACCCAAUUGUACCAGUUGUCCCAUAUCUCACUAAUUCACUAUACAAACCUACGAUUCAGUUCGAUUCAACGGCAACAAAUGAAAUUUUAACACUCAGAAGACUAAAUCGACGUAUAUAAGUAACGAUACUAUCCAAUGUGCAACCUAAAACGACCGAAAUUGACAAAUUGAUUACCAAAAUGGAAAAUCCCCCAAACAGUAGAAGAAGAUUACUUAACUGCGAAAUGACGGCAGAGAAACGAGAUUUGGCGAACAACACGGGUUCAGGGGAGGCCGGCGCACCGCGCCGAGCGAAAAUAAACGCUCGGGAAUCUCGAUUCGAGCAGAUCGAUCGAUCGAUCUCGGGGAGAAACUAGGGUUUUCGGUUCAGGCCUACUCAGAAAUUGACGAAAUUAGUUCGAGCAGCUUUGGUUUACAAUUUCAGGUUUUCAAUUUUUUUAUCAUUCGAUUUUUAAAAACAAAUGAUGAAAAAUAAGAUAAUCAAUAAUGCCAUAAAACCUUUUCAUUAAGGGUAAAAUGGUUAUAUCAUACCCAUGGCACACAGACUCAAAUGUGGCAGAAGAGAUUUUUUUUCAGCCAUUAAACCAUGUAGAUCUAAUUUUUUUUUGUAAUUUUCAGUUUAACUACGGGUAUUUUGGUCAUUUUGAUUUUUGAUCGUCUUGAAAACCGAAGUAUUUCUAGGAAUACCGCGGGUUCGAAUCCUAAAUCAGACUCAGCUGAAUGCAUUAAUUCAGAUCAGUUGGCUGAGCCCAAAAAUUUCUUCACGAUUUUUAAAACUCAGUGGGAUGAUCCAUCUGGAUGAUGAUAAUUUGAUGCUAUAAACGAACAUCAGUUGUCAUCUUUAUCCAGAUGAACCAUCUGACUGCUCAAACGAACAUGGCCAAAGUAAAUUUGAUUUCCUCCUGUUUUGUUUAGUUUUCGUAGGAAGAUAAUGAGGAGUCAGUAAAUUUGGUUGUUUUGGAAAGUACUUAGUCUUUCUGAAUGUAUAGCAAAGAAUAAUCCAAUCUAUAUAUUUAUUUGUGUAGUGAUUUGCUUACGUGUCGCGCUCACAGCGAGUUUCGACGCAUUUCGCUUACGUAUCAGCUCCAGAAUGAGUUUUGGCCGCAAAAAGACCGUUUAGCCCUAUUUUCCAAUCAAAUGUCAUUUUUUUACUGGUUCUUAUCUGAUGAUGUGUAAAAAAAAUACUUAUAACAAACCGGUCUAAAUUAUUAUGGUUUAAUGCUUAAUUAUGUACUUAAUCAAACCAAUUUUAAAAUUAGAUAAACCAAAAUUUAGGGAAAAAAAAAACAAAAACGUUUUUAUAAAAAAAACUCAAAAUUUACCAUUUCUAAGGUCUUUGAAAUAAACAAAAAAUCUAUAAAAAACAAAAACGUUUUUAUAAAAAAAAACUAGAAAUUUACCAUUUCUAAUGUCUUCGAAAUAAAUAAAAAAUCUAACUAAAAUGUUAACUAAAAUCUAAUUAGUUAAUUAUUAUAGUGUUUACGAUUUCUAACGAGAUUUAUGCUAAAAUAUCGCUAAUUAUUAUAGUGUUUACGAUUUCUUAUGUUUAUAGGAUUUUCGAAUUAUAUAGUUUAUAAAUAUCAGCCACUAACAAAAACGUUUUUUUUUAAAACCACAAAAACGUUUUUUUUUAAAAAAAAAACAAAUAUGGAAUUUAUAUUUCUUAGUGAUUACCAUUUUUAUAUUUCGAAAAUUUACAAACAAUCUAACAAAAAUGUUAAAAGAUACAAAAAUAGAAUCUAUUUAAAAUUUAAUGAAAUGUCGUAUGAAAACAAAAAAAAAACAAAAUUUAACAAAAAAUCUAACAAAAAUGUUUAAAAAAAGUUUAUAUUGUUUUUGAUUUUUUAUAAUCUAUAUACUUAUUUUUGUAUUGACUACCAUUUUUUAUAUCUCCGAAAUUUAGAAUAAAUCUAAUUAAAAUGUUAAAAAGAAAUAAAAAUUAGAAUAAAAUUUAUGUUAGAAUAUUGCUAAUUAUUAUAAUGUUUACGAUUUUUUAUGUUUAUAGAGUUUUUGAUUUCUAUAAUUUUAUAAAAUCAAAAUUUAGUAAAAAUCUAAGAAAAAAGUGAAAAGAAAAACAACAAAUGAAAUCUAUAUGUCUAAUGAAAUGUCGUUAAUUAUGAUAUCUAAAAUAGGAUUUUUGAUUUCUUAUCUAUAUACUUCAGAAUUUUUUUUUAACUCUUUUGCUAAAAUCAAAAACUUAUUUGUAAAUUUUGUAUCCGUAUAACUUAGAACAGAGAUUAAAAAAAAUUUAAUGUUUUUAAAAUUAUUUAUUUAUAAAAUUACACUUGGUAAACAUAUAUAGCCCACACGAGACGUGGGCAAAUUAACUAGUUUCCUAUAUUAUUAUGUUUGUAAUGUAAAAACUUUUCUUAAGUUUCUUAAAUAAUUAUACUUAAGAAGACGUUUAGAGUUAAAUCAAAACACAAUUUUUUAUUUUUAUCAAAAAAUAUCCUCAAAGAAAAAAAUUAGAAAAAAUCUCUGAUGGACAAAAAAAGGAAAAAAAUUCUUUUUUAUAACUCCUACAAAAAUUGUUUUUCUUGUUUAGCAAAUUUCGUAAUAAAAUUUAUGUUUUUUGAGUUUAGAAAUAAUUAUUUUAUAAAAAUAUUUUUUCUAAUAAGUGAAAAUAUUUAUUUUUGUUUUUAGAUAUAGUUUUUUUUUGUAAAUUUAAUUUUAUAGUAUUAAAAAUAAUUAUAAUUAUAAAAAUAUAAUUUUAACUAGACCGUUCAUAUGAAUCUAAAAAGAAAUAUGAUUAUAAAAGUAUUACUAGAUUUAGACCUGUGCUGCACAGGAUGAAAAUUAACUUAUAAUAUUAACAUUGAUAUUUUUAGAUAAAUGUAUAAUUUGGUAUAUUUAUCUCUCAUACGUAAGUUUAUAAUUUCAUGUGUAAAUGGUUUCUUCUCACCAUUUUUACUUGUUUCCAUUUUUUUUAAUCUUAUUUUGAAAUUUUUAAUUUUUUUUACUAUGCGAAUCUUAUUUUAUUUUAAAAAUAAAUUUUAAAGUUCUAUUAACGAAUAUUUAACACUUUGAAAUUUUUUUUUAAAAUUCACAAAGUUUAACAUAGCUUUUUUGCUCCUGCAAUAGUUUAAAAACCAACAAAAUUAAACUUAACUUUUUUUUUAAUUAUUAUCCAUGAUUUGAAAGUCAAAUUCUCUACAAUUUGUUUUUUGAAGUACCUUAACAAAGAUAUAUUUUUUAUAUCAUUUAGAUGUAUAUACCUUUGAAAGAUUGUUGAUAGUUUGUGACACUUUUCAUGUUAUCUUUAUUGUUGUUCCAUAUUAUGAGACUUUAUAAUUUGUUAUUUAUUUUAAAAUCUUUCAAGUUUUAAUUUCUUCGGUCAAGGUUUAACUCUUUUAAAAACUGUAAAGUUAUAUUAAAAAUUCACAAAAUUUGAUUAAUUUUGUCUUUCUGUUCCUACCAUGGUUUAUUUUUUAAAAGCCAACAAAAUCAAAAAUUUUGUGUUGUCUUUUAAAUCGUUAUUCAUUUUUUUAGAAGCAAAUUCUUUCUAAUAUUUUUUGAAGUACAUUGAUAAACUUUUAGUAAAGUCUCUAGCAAUGACCUUCCCUAUUAGAUCGAAGAAUUUCCAGGUAACAAUAGUUAUGACAAUAACAUAUUAACAAAAAAAAUUAAAAUUAAACUCAAAUUAAUAUCAAAGACUUUUAUCCAUAGAUCAUACGUUAGAUCCAUUAAAAAUUUUAACUCAACUUAUGUCAUCCAUCUCCUUCUUAUACUCAGGUUUAAAUUUAAUCUUAUAGUUUUUUUAUCUGUAGUCUCAUAUCUAAAUCGUCCAGUUCUCGCUCUUUUAUUAUUUUUCUGUCUCAUCCAGUCUAGCUUUGAAGACUUUUAUUUUAUUUAAUUAACUAUGUGAUUUUACAAAAUUUUAUUUUACUUUAAAAUCUUUAAAAUUCUAAUUUAUCAUGAUUUAAAAUUUGGAUAGCCCGUAAAACUCUUAUAAAAGUCACAAAUUCUAACUUAACAUUUUUGUUCAUACGAUGGUUUAACUUAAAUUUUUUAUUUUUAAUAUAAUAUCUAAGAUGAUAUAUUUUCUCACAAUAUAUAUAAAAAUAUGAUUUUUGAUCCGUGCUAUGCAUGGGAUGAGAAUUAAUUUAUAAUAUUAGCGUUAUUGUUUUUUAGAUGAAAUGAAUAAUUAGAUAUGUUCAUUUCUCAUAGGUAAUACAUAAGUUUAUGAUUUCAUAAGUAAACUGUUUAUUUUCACCAUCUUUACUUGUUUUCAUCUCCUUAAGUCUAAUUUCAAAAUCUUUAAUUUUAUUUUAACUAUGUGAUUUUAUAUAAUUUUUCUAAACAUAAAUAAGAAUUAAGUAAAUGAAUAAUUAUAUAAAAGUAUUGCUUCAUAUGAAAGAAGGUGAAUAAAUUUAAGCAAAAAAAAAAAAAAAUAGAAAAAUAAAAACCUUGAUACUUUAGCGUCCUUACUUUUUUAGCCUCCAUAAAUGUGGGCUCAAAACUCCAUUUGUUUCCCUAUCUAUUUAUGUUUCAAAAAAAAAUAUAUAGUAAAAAAAUCAAAGUCAUAAAAUGAUAGGCAAAAACUAUAAACAUUAGACUUUUAGAAAACCACAACUAAAACCUUUGUGACAGUAAAAUAUUAUUUAAUAAAAGUCAAAAUCAUGAAUUAAUAAUAUUAUCAUUUUAUUUAAUAUUUUCUUUCAAAUUUAUGAUUUAUAUCAAAUAUUCUGAAAGUAAAUUUAAAAUAUAAUUGGUUAAAUUUUGUUAAACUUAAAUAGGAAUUAAGUAAAUGAAUAAUUAUAUAAAAUUAUCACUUCAUAUGAAAGAAGAUGAAUAAAUUUAAACAAAAAGAAAAAAAAAUAGAAAAAUCAAAACCUUGAUUUUUAGCCUCCAUACUUCUUUAGCCCCCAUAAAUUGGCCUCAAAACUUCAUCUGUUUUCCCAUCUAAUUCUGUUUCAAAAAAUAAACUAUAGUAAGAAAUCAAACUCAUAAAAUGAUAGGCAACAAAUAUAAACAUUAGACUUUUAGAAAAUCACAACUAAAACUCGAUAAAGAUGAGAGUAACAAUGAAAUAUGCACCUCUUAUAAAAGCUUAGAUUUAGUAGAGCUUGUUAAAGAAGUUUUGUUGGUAAAUAAAUCUGAAUUGAAAAAAAAUAGUAUAUGCAAAUACGAAUUUUGAAAAAAUAUUAUAAGUUACCAAAAUUGUAUGAUAAAAGAUAUUAUGGAAAUAGUUAAGGCAAUAAUAUUUAAAUCGAAUGUUGGUAAAUUAUGGAAAUAAUAUUUUAUGCAUUUAAUAUAUCUAAAUUUGAAGGAAUAUUCUAUAAAACGAUUUUGGAAAUAGUUGAUAAUCAAAACAAAUCACUUAAAUCUGUAAUUUAAUGCAUUUUAUUUGGAAAAUAUUAUAAUUCUAGUUAAGUAUAUUUUUGGAAAAUCACGAUCAGAUUUUAAUUUUAAAUUCAACUCGAAAUCAAAUCUCUGCAAGAAUCAUUGACAAUUAAUUAAAUUUCAACAUGAAUGAAAUAGUAUUCAGUUUUAAUACGGGAAAAAACCUUAAAAAUACCUCACGUUUAUAACUUUUGCCAGAAAAAUACCUAAACUAUUUUGGCUCCCUUUUAAAUAUCUGACAUUUAUAUGACUACAUCUUUAAUACCCGAAAUUUCAAAAACGGUAAGUUUAACUACCUAUUUUUAAUUAUGCUUAAAUGUUAAACAGAGAUAGUGAUACAGUGUUAAGAAGAUUAAUCACGUGGGUUUAAUUUAUACAUGAAAAGACCAAAAAACCUACCCUCACAAAACAUAUCGUAUAUCCCAUGUUCUUCCCCAAAUCAAAACAAAAACCCUAAAUUGAUUUUCCCCAAAUCGAAUUUUCCCAAAUCGAAAACUCUAAAUCGAUUUUCCCCAAAUAGAUUUUCCCCAAUUCAAGGACAACAAAUCGCAUAUCGAAAUACCAGUUCUCUAAACCCUCUCGAAUCGGUAUUGCUCAUCUGAAGAGAUCUUCGUCUUCACGGCGACUUUCGGCGAGACUCGAAGGAUGAGGUAAGGAUCUAAAUUCAAGGCAUUUGGGCUGUGUAAUGUUGAUAUUUGUGUCGAUUAUGAAGCUUAGAUUGUUUGAUUAUCAAUUUCGUGUUGUGUUUCGAUUAGUUCUGAGUUGUUUUUAGUGACAUCUGCUUCUUUUUCGAUAAUGCAGUGACACCAUAAAAAUCAAUUUGCAUUAUGGAGGGCUUAUGUACAUCAAGGAUUCUAAGCGAGUAUACAUAGGAGGUUCGGUGAAGGAGGGGUUAGUCGUCGACCCAGAUUAUAUGACUUGGAGCGUCUUUGAUGACUAUUGCGACAAAGAAGCCAUAGGAGCCGGCGUCAUUGUGGAACAACUAUGGUACAAGCUGCCACAAGAGAGUGUAGACUCAGCGAGGGCUAUAUUUUACCUCUCUUCUAAUGCAGAGUUAAUGCAGAUGUGUGCUGAAGCUAGUGUAGGCGGUGAAGUGGAUGUUUACAUUGAGAAAAUUGUACCUCCUCAGCCUGUCGAGAAUGAGGAAAGAGAUAUUGAAGGAAGCGUUGAGAAUGAAGGAAGCGUUUGUCAAGCUCUUGUAGUGUAUCAGAGAAAAGAGAACAAAGGAGGCGAGUCUGAUGGUGAUGAUGUUGAAGAUGAUAAAGCUCCUGAAGAUCCACACCCAGAUGACUUCGCACAAGGGGAAGAAGUUGUAGAAGAAAGAGCCGAUGAUGAGAGAUUUCAGUCUUUUAUGGCAAAAAUGGAAAAUGGAGAUAAUGCUGGGUUAGGUGAGGUGAAUGAUGGCUUUGGAGAAGAUGAAAAUGCUUCUGAUGGUGAUCAGAAUGAGAGUAAUCCUGAAGAUGAGCACAAUGCACCAAACGCAGAUGCUGAUGCUGAAGCUAAGUUCGAGAGACAGUGUAGGGCAUAGUUGUUUUCAAAUAUAAUACAAAUACAAAUAUAUUGUUUUCAUCUCUGUCAUUGAAAAUAUUAUUUAAAUUUGAAUAUUUAAAUUAAAUCUAAAUUAAUAUCUGGAUUACUAUUUUUAUAAAAAUAUAAUAAUAAAUUAUUUUAUAAUUUUUGAUAAUAUAUAUUUAAGGAAAUCUAUAACAAAUCUAUAUUAAAAACCAAAUUUUCAGAUUUAUAUUAAAAUAGAAAUUAAAAAUAUAUUAUUUUAUUUAUAUUACACUAAAUACAUUUAUUUGGUAAAUUUAAAUUAAAAUUAAUAUUUUUGUUUGGUAAUAGAAAUAACACUUAUCAAAAUCAGAAUAGUCGAAAACCAAAUAAAAAUUUGUUUGGACACAAAAUACUUUUUCUCUUUUAAUAGUAUAAAUAACUGGAUACAAUUGACUUACCUGAAUCAAUUUACAGUUGAACUGAUAUGAAUGAAGAACUCUAUUUUUUAUUUUAUUUUUUAUUUAUUUCGCUAAUAGAUUUAGGCAUUUUGUUUCAAAUAUACAUUUUAAUAGUGUUUUCAUGUCUUAAAUACUCUUAAAUUUAUACCCGCUUUUCUCCAAUUUUUUGUUCCAAUAGAUACUUCUAUUAAAAUGCUGGAAAAGGUGAAAAGAGUCAAAGCCCAUUAUCAAGCCCACACAAAAAAUUAGAUCAUAUGGCAUUAAACAUUCCGCUAAUAAUCCAAUUAAAACUUAAAAUUGAAUCCGACACCGUUUGAUCUUGUAGCGACGAUGAUAACGAAUCUCCUUCGACUGUGAUUCCGAUUUCUUUCUUCUCCUUCUUCCUCCUCUUUUUCUCGAUUCAAGUCUCAUCUUGUAUUUACCCUUUCUCGAUUCAAAUAUCGAAGAUUGAAUCGCAUUUAUUCAGAAAACUGAAAUGGGUACUAUAUAGAACUUCCGAUUUGAUUCCGGUUUCAGAGCAGAGAUCGAUCCUCUCGUUAACUUCACAGGUAAUUUCUUUCUAGGGUUUUGUCCCAUUCCAUCUUUUCUUUCUAGGGCUUUGUUCUGUUCAUGUGUUUUCUCUAGUUACUAUUUCAUUUGCUUGGCUUUCGCAGUUCUUGUGGAACUUCCUGAUUUAUCUUCUGAUUCCGGUUUCCGAGGCAGAAAUCGAGCCCUCUGAUUAACUUUAAAGGUAAUCUCUUUAUAGGGUUUUUCCAGGGGUUUUUGUUCUGUUCAUUUUCUUGGCUAUAGACGAAAUCCUUUUGAGUUCUUUUUCAAUUUUUCCUCAGGGAAGACCAAGAAUCCAAGUUUCUUUUAGUAUCUCGUCGAAUUUCUACGAUAUGGCCAGACUCAGUGAUUUGCCUGAUGAGUUGCUGGUGAAGAUAUUAUUGUAUCUUCCAACCAAAGUUGCUGUAUCCACUAGCGUCUUGUCUAAGCAAUGGCAGUUUCUUUGGAUGUGGUUGCCUAAACUUGAGUAUAGUAAUGAUCCAGAGUCUACAAUACUUCGGGAUAUUGUAAUCAGAAAAAGAGAUUAUCAACAGUCUAAGACACUUCGGAAAUUUAUUGACAAGAAUCUGCCAUUACAUAGAGCUCCGGUCAUAGAAAGCUUGCGUCUCGACUUCGUUUUUGGUAAUGUCUUAAAUGUUGGACCUGAAACUAUCAGACGGUGGGUUCAGAUUUCGGUUUCUCGCUGUCUACGAGAGCUGGAGAUUUCUUAUAUUUCGAAGACCAUAAACAUAUUCCCGGGCAGCUUCUACACCUGCGCAUCGCUCGUGAUCUUGAAACUCAGUUUCGUAAAUCUCAUGGAUGUUCCCUUAACGGGUUGUCUUCGCUCUCUGAAAACCUUGGAGCUUAUAAAUUUCACAUAUGAUCAAGAAUCUCUCCAACGGCUUCUAUCUAUAUGUCCUGUUCUUGAAGACCUAUCGGUGAAUCUUGGUCAUGCUAAUCAUGACACUGUGAGAGAGUUCACUAUUAUCGUCCCGUCUUUGCGGAGUUUGUCAUUCAUAACACCUAAUUACUGGCCUUUAGAUGGGUAUCUGAUAGAUACUCCUUCUUCAGAGUAUUUCAAACUUGAGGAUUGGAAUGAUAGGGAACACUACGGUGAGAUUAGGAAUAUGCCAAAGUUGAAGGAAGCAUAUGUUGAUCUUUUUUCAUAUGAUCUCAAGAGUAUUAUUCGAUCAAUCACAUCGGCCAAGCGUCUUACUAUAUGUUCCAAGGUAAUCACUUUUGCAGCAAGUCUUCAGUCUCAUUUGUAGAAUCCUCUGUUUAAUCAUUUUUUGAAUAUCGUGGGGCAGGAUGAUGUGUCUGGUGAUGGUUUUGUUUUCAAACAUCUUGAACAUCUGAAGCUAUGUGGGUGCAAAGAGGAUUCGUCGACUUUCCUUGGCCAGUUGCUCCAAGUUUCUCCAAACUUACGAGUGUUAGACAUCUGUGUACUAAAAGUAAGUUUCUUCGUUGAUAAACUUAUCUUUUGUUUUGUCUUAUACGCAGUACGGUUUAGUUCUAAUAUGUUCUGCUUGGUCUCAGGAUCAUAACAUGGAUGGGGAUGAUGAUUUUAUGGGUUUCUGGAAUCAACCGAGUCGUGUUCCUGAAUGCCUAUUGUCGAGUCUACAAAUCCUCAACUGGUCAAGAUACUUUGGGAGACCACAAGAGAGAGAGAUUGCUGUUUACAUCUUGAAGAAUGCUUGUCGCUUGAAGAAGGCAACAAUAUGGGCUGAUACAGAGUAUUAUGUGUCAAACCUUGAGAUGAUCAAGGAGUUGACACUUUCUUCCCGAGCUUCAAGCACAUGCGAACUCGUUUUUGUUGAGGAUGAUACUGAUAGAGAACCUGAACCUGAAGCUGAAUGACCGUAUAGAUUGUUGUAUGGAGGAGAAAAGCAGAUUCCGCAUGGAAUUGUUAAGAUUUGUUCGUAUAGAUUGUUGUAUGGAAACCCCAAAUGUUUUGUUAGAAAAGCAAAUUUGUGUGUAAAUUUUAGACUUCUUGUUGAUGAUACUCAAAUGUAAAUGCUUUUAAGCUUCUAACAGAGUUGAUUAGGAUGGGUUUUGCUUAAUCCUUUAUUAGGAAUCAAACUAAUUACAUGAUAUAAUCUUUGUUAUAUAUAAUUUAUAAAGUUAUCCGAAAAUUAAGAAAUUCGGAAACUAUUCAGCUCUUCUCAAACCAUUGAAACCCUAAUGGGCCAUGAGACAUUAACCUGAUGGUUAAUGGGCCGGUUACAAAGAUAUAAGAUUGAAUGGUUUCCAUAUCGAAACUCAGGAUGAAGGGAACAAAGAGUUUUUAAUUAUCACUAAAAUGAUAAAUGGCCAUAAACAAGUUUUUGAAACUAUACCCGCCGUAUCUACUAGCAUUUACCAUGCUAAAGUCAGUAUGAUUGAGGCUAAUGCUGCUAUCAAAGCACGGUUUUUAGAUUACACUAUUUGGCAUGAUCGCCUGGGUCAUCCCGGUGCGAACAUAAUGCGUAAAUUAGUCCAGAAUUCUAAAGGGCACAACCUUAAACCAAAUGGUAUUUUCCCUCAGCACCUCAAGUGCACAGCUUGCUCACAAGGGAAACUGAUUACCCGACCUUCACCAGUCAAAGUGUCUAAAGAGACCUUGAACUUUCUGGAAAGAAUCCAAGGAGACAUAUGUGGACCAAUUCACCCACCUUGUGGGACAUUCAGAUAUUUCAUGGUCCUCAUUGACGCAUCGACCCGCUGGUCGCAUGUCUGUCUGCUCUCUUCUAGGAACCAGGCUUUUGCUAGGUUAUUGGCCCAAAUCAUCAGAUUACGAGCCCAUUUUCCAGACUUCCCAUUAAAGACUAUACGUCUUGAUAAUGCUGGUGAAUUCACUUCCCAAGCGUUUAAUGAAUAUUGUAUGUCCAUGGGGGUAAGUGUUGAACAUCCCGUUCCACAUGUCCAUACACAAAAUGGAUUAGCUGAAUCCUUCAUUAAACGAAUUCAAUGGGUUGCUAGACCAUUACUCAUGAGGUCACAACUCCCGGUCUCAGCUUGGGGACACGCAGUCUUACAUGCCGCUGAACUAAUACGCAUACGACCAUCUAGUGAGCACAAAUAUUCACCAUCCCAAUUGCUAACGGGUCAUGAGCCAGACGUCUCCCAUAUUAAAACAUUUGGGUGUUCAGUCUAUGUACCCAUUGCACCACCACAAAGGACUAAAAUGGGACCUCAAAGGAGGAUGAGAAUAUAUGUUGGUUUUGAUUCUCCCACCAUCAUAAAAUAUCUCGAGCCAACUACAGGAGAUCUGUUUAAAGCCAGAUAUGCAGAUUGCCGAUUUGAUGAAUCGGUAUAUCCUAGAUUAGGUGGUGAGACAGACAAGCUGGUAAAAGAACUUUCAUGGAAUCAAACAUCCACACAAUGGCAAGAUCCUCGGACUCUAGAAUGUGAUUCAGAGGUCCAAAGAAUUAUACAUUUACAAAAGCUAGCUAAUCAAUUGCCAGAUUCCUUUGCUGACCCGAACAAAGUUACUAAAUCGUACAUACCAGCUUGUAAUGCACCAGUACGAAUAGAUGUCCCCUCAGGGAAAAGUCAAGUUGCUACAGAGUCUGACGCACGUAAGAAACGUGGCAGACCACCAGGUUCCAAAGAUAAGAAUCCCCGGAAAUCAAAGAAAGGUGCAAUGAUUGAAACCGGGAUUCAAGAGAACACGGAUACAGCCUCAGCUGAUACUUACCCUAUCGAACCAUCUCAAGAGGUUUGGGACGCCAAAACUCAAGGUUCUGAAGGGAUUGAUAAUAAUGAGAUCUCAAUCAAUUAUAUCAUAUUCGGUUCUCUAUGGAACAGAAAAGAUGUCGACAUCAAUGAAACUUUUGCAUACAAAGUAGCACUUGAGAUUGCGCACACGCAAGAGGAUCUAGAACCCACGUCUAUAAUUGAGUGCACUCGUAGAUCAGAUUGGCUGAAAUGGAAAGAAGCCAUAAACGUGGAGUUGAAUAGUUUAAAGAAACGGAAUGUGUUUGGUCCGAUCUUAAGGACACCAUUCGAUGUUAAACCAGUGGGAAACAAAUGGGUCUUUGUGCGUAAAAGAAACGAACUCGGCGAAGUCGUUAGAUACAAGGCACGCCUUGUAGCACAAGGAUUCUCACAGAGACCCGGAAUCGAUUAUGAGGAGACUUAUUCUCCAGUGGUGGAUGCAACUACAUUUCGAUUCCUCAUAAGUCUGGCCAUAAGAGAAAACUUAGAUUUGCGGUUAAUGGAUGUUGUAACCGCAUAUCUUUAUGGACCACUGGACAGUGAAAUCUAUAUGAGAUUACCAGAUGGUAUUGAGCUCAAAGAUAAGCAUGCAUCUCGUGAUAAACACUGCAUUAGGCUGAACAAAUCCUUAUAUGGACUGAAACAAAGCGGACGUAUGUGGUAUAACCGGUUAAGCGAAUAUCUCAUCAGAGAAGGCUACGAAAACGAUCCGAUCAGUCCAUGCAUCUUCAUCAGAAAAUAUCAAAACAAAGGAUUUGUAAUCAUAGCAGUAUACGUGGAUGACUUGAACAUCCUCGGAACAUCUGGUGAAAUCGCCCAAACAGUUGAAUGCUUAAAAGCAGAGUUUGAAAUGAAAGACCUAGGCAAAACUAAAUUCUGUUUGGGAUUACAACUUGAGUACGUCAAUGACGGAAUCCUUGUGCAUCAAUUGGCAUACACUGAAAAGGUACUCAAGAGAUUCAAUAUGGACCAGGCCCACCCAUUGACCAGCCCAAUGGUUGUGAGGAGCCUUGGAUUGGAUAGUGAUCCAUUCGGUCCAAAGAAGGACGAUGAAGAAAUCCUCGGUCCUGAAAUGCCAUACCUCAGUGCCAUAGGAGCAUUAAUGUACUUGGCUAGUCACACUAGACCAGACAUCUGCUUUGCCGUGAGCCUCUUAGCUCGCUUUAGUUCGUGUCCAACUCAAAGGCACUGGAACGGUAUUAAGCACAUCCUUAGAUACCUUCAAGGUACUAAGGACUUGAGAUUAUUUUAUUCUAACCAUAACAAGGAUGGUCUAGUUGGUUUUGCUGAUGCAGGAUAUUUGUCAGAUCCGCACUGUGCCCGGUCUCAAACCGGUUAUGUUUUCACGCAUGGAGGAACAGCCAUAUCUUGGAGAUCCAUGAAGCAGACUAUUGCCGCUACCUCAUCCAACCAUGCGGAAAUCUUGGCCAUUCACGAAGCUAGUAGAGAGUGUGUUUGGUUGCGGUCCAUGACUCAGCAUAUCCGAUCAGAUUGUGGUAUGGACGAAGAUAAGGAGCCUACGGUGAUGUAUGAAGACAAUGCAGCUUGUAUCGCUCAACUCAAGGACGGCUACAUCAAAGGUGACCGGACGAAGCAUAUUCUGCCCAAAUUCUUCUUUACUCAUGAGCUACAGAAGGAUGGUCAGGUCAAGGUUCAGCAUGUCCGAUCAAGCGAAAAUUCAGCCGAUCUAUUCACUAAAUCAUUACCGACUUCUACACUCCGGAAGCUCAUUCAUCAGAUAGGAAUGCGUAGACUUAGAGAUCUACAGUGAUGCCUAAACCAGGAGGAGUAAUGCGUGUUGUACUCUUUUUCCUUCAGCAUGGUUUUUCCCACUAGGUUUUCCUGGUAAGGUUUUAAUGAGGCAACGUUCCCCAGCGCAUUAUAGAGAUCCCGGUUUUGUGACAGGCACGGUUACUUUGUCCAAGGGGAGUGUUAUAAACAAAUAGACUUUUAGUAACCGGCCCAUUAACCAUCAGGUUAAUGUCUCAUGGCCCAUUAAGGUUUAUGAUAUAUUAGUUAUGUAAUGUAUAUAUACACUGCUUAUGAAAAUAAUAAGAUCCUAGUUUUUUUCUCAACAUGAACUACUUUUAAAAAUAUCGGAAAUAGGAAUUUUAGGUUUUCCUUUCGGUUCAAUUCGGAUUCGAAACCAAUUAGAACCGAUCGGUUUGCUCUGAGACUUAGCUAAACCCUAAAUUCCUAAUUUCUCUCUCCUUCUUCCUCACUCGACUCGACUUCUCACAAAUGCGAUUGUGGUUCUUCCGAAGAAUUUAUUUCUCUCGUGUUUGAUUUCCGCCAAGAAGUUCGAAAAAGGUCAAAUCUGCAAUUGGCGAUUUUCCAAAGACAAAUCGAGGUAACAGUGAUCGUAUACAUUUACCAGGGAAAUGAGUGAUUGGAGAAAAAAAAAAUCAGAUUCCGCAUAAAUGUUUGAAUAUUUCUCAAGCUAAUCGGAUAUUAGAUGUGCACGUGAAUAAACCCAAUUGAUCAAAUUUUGGACUUGCUCGUUUGCGAAGCUUGAAGAUGUUCAAUUCUAGGUUUUAUUUCAUCAAGUCUAUGUUUGUCCAAUUUCUUCGCGUGGUUUUUUGGUUUCAUUUGUUAUUUCAUCAAGUCUAGGUCUUGUCCAACUUCUUUUGUCCAUAUGUUUCAGAGUGUUUUCUGUAAAACUCAGAAAUCCAAGUUCCUGUCCACGGUAACAGCAUUUGUAAAGAUAUGGAUUCAGGCGAACUCUGUUAGUCUUACUUUGUUUAUUUCUUCGUUUAUUUUGUAAGGUUAUAUGGGCAUCAGUGAGUUGUCUGACGAAUUGCUGAUAAAAAUAUUAUCGUUUCUUCCUACCAAAGAUGCUGUGUCCACUAGCAUCUUGUCCAAACAAUGGGAGUUUCUUUGGAUGUGGCUGCCUAAACUUGAGUACACUAGUAGAUACUAUCUAGAGUCUACAUGCGAGAGGUUAAAGUGUUUUCUUGACAGAAAUCUGCCAUUACAUAGAGCUCCGGUUAUUGAAAGCUUCCACCUCGAGUUUGGUGCAAAACAAUUUAAGCCUGAAGAUAUCAAACUGUGGGUUCUAACUGCAGUUUCUCGCAACGUACGAGAGCUGGAGAUUUCUCAAAUUUAUUCUUUGAGCUUGCCGAACAACAUAUUCCCGAGUAGCUUGUAUACCUGCAAAACGCUCGUGACCUUGAAACUCAACGGAGACAUUCUCAUGGAUGUUCCUCGUAUGGUUUGUCUACCUUGUCUCAUAACUUUGCGACUUGUACGGGUGACAUACCUCAAUGAAGAUUCUCUUCAACGGCUUCUAUCUAAUUGCU
rnacentral:lncRNA from 1 species